GCAGUCGAGCGGACAGAUGGGAGCUUGCUCCCUGAUGUUAGCGGCGGACGGGUGAGCAACACGUGGGUAACCUGCCUGUAAGACUGGGAUAACUCCGGGAAACCGGGGCUAAUACCGGAUGGUUGUUUGAACCGCAUGGUUCAAACAUAAAAGGUGGCUUCGGCUACCACUUACAGAUGGACCCGCGGCGCAUUAGCUAGUUGGUGAGGUAACGGCUCACCAAGGCAACGAUGCGUAGCCGACCUGAGAGGGUGAUCGGCCACACUGGGACUGAGACACGGCCCAGACUCCUACGGGAGGCAGCAGUAGGGAAUCUUCCGCAAUGGACGAAAGUCUGACGGAGCAACGCCGCGUGAGUGAUGAAGGUUUUCGGAUCGUAAAGCUCUGUUGUUAGGGAAGAACAAGUACC
rnacentral:rRNA from 1 species